UUUUCAUACAUUCUUACAUAGAUUUCCCACAAGUUAAAUUGUGUGAUUUUGGAUUCGCGAGAAUUAUUGGCGUAAAAUCUUUUAGAAGAUCUAUCGUAGGAACGCCAGCAUAUCUUGCGCCCGAGGUGUUAAAAAAAUCAAGGCUAUAAUCGGUC